AUGGUCUUUCAGGAGCAGGACUCCAGGUACAACAGAUCUACCCUACAAGUGAUGGGGAUGAUUGGCCCUGAGGCUACCGGUGAGUGGGCAAUCGUAGGCGGGACUGGAAAAUUAUCCAUGGCUCGUGGUAUUAUCAAGUACAAGUUUCCCCAGAUCGUGACGAGCUUUGAGAAUUAUAGGCAGCUUGAUAUUCAUGCAUUCUACACCCCACAAGCUGUUUAA
rnacentral:rRNA from 1 species